CGGUGGUUAGUAUAACAAAAAUACCUAAUUUCGACUUAGGAGCUCUCGCCUAACCCCGAGACCACCAA
rnacentral:tRNA from 1 species